ACCUGGCUGGCUCAGUCAGAGGAGUGUGUGACUCUUGAUCUCUAGGUUGUGAGUUCAAGCCCCACGCUGGGUG
rnacentral:tRNA from 1 species